CAUAAAAUGUCAGCUGUUAUUACUGCCCUCAUAUAUAUUUUUUUUCUUGUGCUAAAUCUGAUUGCCCUCCGGAGUCCCCGGCUUGUUCUGCCAAUUCUGAGCCCAGCACCUGCUUCCUCACCACCUUUGCUGUCCUCAGGAGCCCUUGGACAUUUCUUGACUGCAUGAUGCAAGUGCUAUCAUUAGCCUUGUUUCACAGGUGAGGCACAGAAAGACCACAUAAUUUGGCGAAGGUCUCAUAGCAAAGCUGGCAGAGCUGAGAUCUGACCGCAUGCUGACUGGCUCCCAUGUCUCCCAGCUUAACCACGAUGCUACGCUUCCCACAACUUGCCUAGGACCCUGGCCCUCUCCCUUCAAACACAUAACUCACUUUGGAAGAGCCCAGUUGUGGAUGUGACGGUCUGAUGAAUACAUGUCUCUUUUAUUGGA